UCUGCGAUGAAGCCUUUACCUUUUCCAUGUGAAGGUAUACCCUGUGAUGAUGGUGUUGGCCUCGGAGCUUGGCUGAAGCGUGCGGCCCGAGGACUCUGGCCUUUUUAGGAGACACUGACUGAGAGACAACAGCCUGGCUAUUGCAGGA